AUUGAACGCUGGCGGCAUGCCUUACACAUGCAAGUCGAACGGCAGCGCGGGCUUCGGCCUGGCGGCGAGUGGCGGACGGGUGAGUAAUGCAUCGGAACGUGCCCAGGAGUGGGGGAUAACGUAGCGAAAGUUACGCUAAUACCGCAUACGUACUGAGGUAGAAAGCGGGGGAUCGAAAAACCUCGCGCUCAUGGAGCGGCCGAUGUCGGAUUAGCUAGUUGGCGGGGUAAAAGCCCACCAAGGCGACGAUCCGUAGCUGGUCUGAGAGGACGACCAGCCACACUGGGACGGAGACACGGCCCAGACUCCUACGGGAGGCAGCAGUGGGGAAUCUUGGACAAUGGGGGAAACCCUGAUCCAGCAAUGCCGCGUGUGGGAUGAAGGCCCUCGGGUUGUAAACCACUUUUGGCAGGAAAGAAAUCGCCUGUGCUAAUACCACGGGCGGAUGACGGUACCUGCAGAAUAAGCACCGGCUAACUACGUGCCAGCAGCCGCCGUAA
rnacentral:rRNA from 1 species